UACGAAGGAUGCAAGCGUUAUCCGGAUUUAUUGGGUUUAAAGGGUGCGUAGGCGGACUUAUAAGUCGGGUGUGAAAUCUCGGAGCUUAACUCCGAAACUGCAUUCGAUACUGCCGUGCUUGAGGACUGGAGAGGAGACUGGAAUUUACGGUGUAGCGGUGAAAUGCGUAGAUAUCGUAAGGAAGACCAGUGGCGAAGGCGGGUCUCUGGACAGUUCCUGACGCUGAGGCACGAAGGUCAGGGGAGCAAACGGG
rnacentral:rRNA from 1 species